UACGAAGGGGGCUAGCGUUGUUCGGAAUUACUGGGCGUAAAGCGUAGGUAGGCGGCGCGAUUAGUCAGAGGUGAAAUCCCGGAGCUCAACUUCGGAACUGCCUUUGAUACUGUCGUGCUCGAGUCCGAUAGAGGUGAGUGGAAUUCCUAGUGUAGAGGUGAAAUUCGUAGAUAUUAGGAAGAACACCAGUGGCGAAGGCGGCUCACUGGAUCGGUACUGACGCUGAGCUACGAAAGCGUGGGGAGCAAACAGG
rnacentral:rRNA from 1 species